rnacentral:rRNA from 3 species
CAUUGCGGCUCGGGAUCCUGAUCUCGGGCCACACCUGACUGAGGGUCGGUGAUAUCAUAAGAGCAAAUUGUAUUGGGCGACGUCCGACACGAGUUGUCGAACGCGCACCCAAAUUCAAAGAAAGACUCGGAGAAGGCCGCCUCUCUGUGGAGAGGAGACUUGAACGGUCGUCGUGAGUACGUGUCUUUGUGUAUUUAUUCGGACCAACGGGAAAAGCUCGCAAGGUAGUUGUCGGUGGAGUAACGGAACCCUCCUUAAACGGAGGCGCCCGAGAAAGAUCGACUCUGCGAAUUGCGGAUUGCCUCUCGCCGAUAAAAAACAAGACUCUGAAAGCGCGAAAUCGUCUCGUCGCUCGGUGCGACUCCGUAAAUAUAUAUAUGUAUGAUAUACACACAAAUUGAUCGCGACCUCAGAUCAGGUGAGACUACCCGCUAAAUUUAAGCAUAUUAAUAAGCGGAGGAAAAGAAACUAACAAGGAUUCCCUGAGUAACGGCGAGCGAAAAGGGAAAAGCCCAGCACCGAAUCUCGUACCGUC